UAAUCUGGAAAUUUUUGCAUCUGGAAAAAUCAGGUGAGGGAAUUAAAUCCUACCCUGAGAAUAUUCCCCUUGUCAGGUAUCGUCUUAGGUAUUUUUGAGAGUGUUUUGUUUUUGUUUUUUGUUUUUGAGCGGUCAUGAAAUUAUCAGACUCACAUGAAAACAUUUCAGAAAUUGAGAAGAUUUUGAAAAGGUAGAGAAUAGAAUCCCGCUAAGGAAAUGAAAUAUCCUGUAUGUAACACUCCACACUAAGUCCAAAAGAUAAACUCUGGUUAAUAUAGGUGGGUUAUAUAUAGAUCAAUACCAGCCUUUGUAAGAAGGAUAUAAGUCUUAUUUGGCUGAAGGCUUAAUAUCAGACAACAGAGAGUGAGGGAGGACAAGAAUGCCAAUGUGAGUGAAGCCAGCCUGAUGAGGAAUAGAGCCAGUGAGGGAGACAAGAAUAUUCUCACUCUUCGAUGAACUUGACGCAUCCCACCUACAAGCUGCAUUUGCGCUUCAAGAAGGACAUUCACGAACUAAUUUAAACACAUCCAGAGAAGAAGGAUGACGGUGGGCUAGGAGAUCAUCUCCUAUGAGGAUCAUUUGAGAGAACUGAGGAGACUCCUCUCUACCAGGAGGUAUUUGCUCAAUGGAUGAACGUAUAAAUGAAUUACAAAGCAGGCAGCUUGUUUUCAACACUUCAGUGAGAUUUCUAAAUGGACCACUCAUUUAAUAUAAGAAAAUGUCUAAAGUCCUGGACAACGGCCGACCCACUGAAUUUAUCACAUCGUAAAAAGCAAACUUGACUGUUACUUCAUGGAGACGUGGUGGAGAGCCCAGCAGAGGCUCAGCCUCUGUGUCUGGUCCCAUCUCCCAAACCCUGCAGUGAGGGAGGGAGGCCAGCCUUUGUGUAGAGGGAGGCCCUGUGCGUGAAUAUGGACACAGGAGCUCAGGAAACCUGUGUCCUCCCCGGUGUCGUCAACAAUCCUGCUGUGUGACCUUGGGUAAGCAUUUUGACUUCUUUUAGAUUUUGUUUUAUGAGGUUAAAUUGAAAAUAAUGCUAUUUACCAUGCAGGAGAUUUGGAAAGAUUUAAUAAUGCAAUAUUUAAAACGAAUACUGAAAUUUAGGUCUGGGUUUUCUGAACUGUAGAUUUGAUCCAACACACCAUUACUUUGUUGUUGUUUCUGUUGUUAAUGUGUAAUGAAGAAUUAAGGAUUAAGGGGCCAACAUCAACCCAAACAGCAUUUAGAUAUUUUUUUCCUAAAUACACGAUUAAAAAUAAGUGUUAGUAGUGGUAAUAAUAGCAAUUCAAGAUGAUGAAAUAUGAUAGGUAGACAAAUACUGUGAUAAAUUGAGAGUUUUAUAUUUUCUUGGCAGUUUUUCAAUGUGAUUUACAAAGCUGUAUUUUUUUGGAAAACCAUUUUUUUGUUUGUUUCUAAGAAAAAUAUUUGAUUUCAACAUUUCUCCUUAUUCUCGUUUGAUAUUGACAUCGUCACGGACCUCUCAUGCCCUCUUUUUGCAGAAAGAAAGUAGAUACAUAUUAAUGUCAUUCUGUGUCAUCCGUGUGUUGG